rnacentral:rRNA from 1 species
GAUGAACGCUGGCGGCGUGCCUAAUACAUGCAAGUCGAGCGACCAGACGAGGAGCUUUCGCCUCUGACGUUAGCGGCUGACGGGUGAGUAACACGUGGAUCACCUUCCUAUUUGACUGGGAUAACUACGGGAGACCGGUGAUAAUACUGGCUCAUAUAUUGAACCGCAUGGAUCAAUAGUGCAACACAGUUUUGCCGUUUCUUUUAGACGGUUCCGCGCCGCAUUAGCUAGUUGGUAAGGUCACGGCUUACCAAGGCAACGAUGCGUAGCCGACCUGAGAGGGUGAUCAGCCACACUGGAACUGAGACACGGUCCAGACUCCUACGGGAGGCAGCAGUAGGGAAUCUUGCACAAUGGGCGAAAGCUUGACGGAGCCACGCCGCGUGAGUGAUGAAGGUCUUCGGAUUGUAAAGCCCUGUUAUUAGGGAAGAACAAAUGUAUAAGUAACUCUGCACGUCUUGACGGUACCUAAACAGAAAGCACCGGCUAACUUCGUG